GAUGAAGAACGUAGCAAAAUGCGAUAGUAAUGUGAAUUGCAGAAUUCAGUGAAUCAUCGAAUCUUUGAACGCACAUUGCGCCCGCCAGUAUUCUGGCGGGCAUGCCUGUUCGAGCGUCAUUUCAACCCUCAAGCCCUCGGGUUUGGUGUUGGGGAUCGGCGAGCCUUUCUGGCAAGCCGGCCCCGAAAUCUAGUGGCGGUCUCGCUGCAGCCUCCAUUGCGUAGUAGUAAAACCCUCGCAACUGGAACGCGGCGCGGCCAAGCCGUUAAACCCCCAACUUCUGAAUGUUGACCUCGGAUCAGGUAGGAAUACCCGCUGAACUUAAGCAUAUCAAUAAGCGGAGGA
rnacentral:misc_RNA from 1 species